UACAGAGGUCUCGAGCGUUAGGCGGAAUCACUGGGCUUAAGGCGUGUGUAGGUGGAUCGUUAAGUACCUUGUGAAAUCCCACGGCUUAACCGUGGAACUGCUUGGUAUACUGGCGGUCUUGAGCCAGCUAGGGGCUACCGGAACAAAUGGUGGAGCGGUGAAAUGCGUAGAUAUCAGGAGGAAUACCGGUGGCGAAAGCGACUCUCUGGACGGCAACUGACGCUGAGGCACGAAAGCGUGGGGAGCAAACAGG
rnacentral:rRNA from 1 species